rnacentral:rRNA from 1 species
GGUUAAGUGAAUAAGGGCGCACGGUGGAUGCCUUGGCACUAGGAGCCGAUGAAGGACGGGACUAACACCGAUAUGCUUUGGGGAGCUGUAAGUAAGCUAUGAUCCAGAGAUUUCCGAAUGGGGGAACCCAAUAUCUUUUAUAGGAUAUUACUUUUCAGUGAAUACAUAGCUGAUUAGAGGUAGACGCAGAGAACUGAAACAUCUUAGUACCUGCAGGAAGAGAAAGAAAAUUCGAUUCCCUGAGUAGCGGCGAGCGAAACGGGAAGAGCCCAAACCAACAAGCUUG